GAUGAACGCUGGCGGCGUGCCUAAUACAUGCAAGUCGAGCGGUAAGGCCCCUUCGGGGGUACACGAGCGGCGGACGGCUGAGUAACGCGUAGGAACGUACCCCAAAGUGAGGGAUAAGCACCGGAAACGGUGUCUAAUACCGCAUGUGAUCUUCGGAUUAAAGCUUUAUGCGCUUUGGGAGCGGCCUGCGUAAGAUUAGCUUGUUGGUGAGGUAAGAGCUCACCAAGGCGACGAUCUUUAGCUGGUCUGAGAGGAUGAUCAGCCAGACUGGGACUGAGACACGGCCCAGACUCCUACGGGAGGCAGCAGUAGGGAAUUUUCCACAAUGGGCGAAAGCCUGAUGGAGCAACGCCGCGUGCAGGAUGAAGGCCUUAGGGUCGUAAACUGCUUUUAUAUGUGAAGAUUAUGACGGUAACAUAUGAAUAAGGAUCGGCUAACUCCGUGCCAGCCGCCGCAGUAACAC
rnacentral:rRNA from 1 species